rnacentral:snRNA from 1 species
CCAUCUGGUUUGGUAUGC